GGGUUGUGAGGUUAAGCGAACAAGCGUACACGGUGGAUGCCCUGGCAGUCAGAGGCGAUGAAGGACGUGCUAAUCUGCGAAAAGCGCCGGUAAGGUGAUAUGAACCGUUAUAGCCGGCGAUGUCCGAAUGGGGAAACCCAGUGUGAUUCGUCACACUAUCUCAGCAUGAAUACAUAGUGCUGUGAGGCGAACCGGGGGAACUGAAACAUCUAAGUACCCCGAGGAAAAGAAAUCAACCGAGAUUCCCCCAGUAGCGGCGAGCGAACGGGGAACAGCCCAGAGCCUGAAUCAGCUUGUGUGUCAGUGGAACGGUCUGGAAAGGCCGGCGAUACAGGGUGACAGCCCCGUACACGAAGGCACACAGGCUGUGAGCUCGAUGAGUAGGGCGGGACACGUGAUAUCCUGUCUGAAGAUGGGGGGACCAUCCUCCAAGGCUAAAUACUCCUGACUGACCGAUAGUGAACCAGUACCGUGAGGGAAAGGCGAAAAGAACCCCGGCGAGGGGAGUGAAACAGAACCUGAAACCGUGUACGUACAAGCAGUGGGAGCCUUCGUAAGAGGGUGACUGCGUACCUUUUGUAUAAUGGGUCAGCGACUUAUAUUCUGUAGCAAGGUUAACCGUAUAGGGGAGCCGAAGGGAAACCGAGUCUUAAUUGGGCGUUAAGUUGCAGGGUAUAGACCCGAAACCCGGUGAUCUAGCCAUGGGCAGGUUGAAGGUUGGGUAACACUAACUGGAGGACCGAACCGACUAAUGUUGAAAAAUUAGCGGAUGACCUGUGGCUGGGGGUGAAAGGCCAAUCAAACCGGGAGAUAGCUGGUUCUCCCCGAAAGCUAUUUAGGUAGCGCCUCGUGAACUCAUCUUCGGGGGUAGAGCACUGUUUCGGCUAGGGGGCCAUCCCGGCUUACCAACCCGAUGCAAACUACGAAUACCGAAGAAUGUUAUCACGGGAGACACACGGCGGGUGCUAACGUCCGUCGUGAAGAGGGAAACAACCCAGACCGCCAGCUAAGGUCCCAAAGUCAUGGUUAAGUGGGAAACGAUGUGGGAAGGCACAGACAGCCAGGAUGUUGGCUUAGAAGCAGCCAUCAUUUAAAGAAAGCGUAAUAGCUCACUGGUCGAGUCGGCCUGCGCGGAAGAUGUAACGGGGCUAAACCAUGCACCGAAGCUGCGGCAGCGACACUAUGUGUUGUUGGGUAGGGGAGCGUUCUGUAAGCCUGCGAAGGUGUGCUGUGAGGCAUGCUGGAGGUAUCAGAAGUGCGAAUGCUGACAUAAGUAACGAUAAAGCGGGUGAAAAGCCCGCUCGCCGGAAGACCAAGGGUUCCUGUCCAACGUUAAUCGGGGCAGGGUGAGUCGACCCCUAAGGCGAGGCCGAAAGGCGUAGUCGAUGGGAAACAGGUUAAUAUUCCUGUACUUGGUGUUACUGCGAAGGGGGGACGGAGAAGGCUAUGUUGGCCGGGCGACGGUUGUCCCGGUUUAAGCGUGUAGGUGUGUGUUCCAGGUAAAUCCGGUUCACUUUAACACUGAGGCGUGAUGACGAGGCACUACGGUGCUGAAGUAACAAAUGCCCUGCUUCCAGGAAAAGCCUCUAAGCAUCAGGUAACAUCAAAUCGUACCCCAAACCGACACAGGUGGUCAGGUAGAGAAUACCAAGGCGCUUGAGAGAACUCGGGUGAAGGAACUAGGCAAAAUGGUGCCGUAACUUCGGGAGAAGGCACGCUGACAUGUAGGUGAAGCCCCUGCGGGUGGAGCUGAAGUCAGUCGAAGAUACCAGCUGGCUGCAACUGUUUAUUAAAAACACAGCACUGUGCAAACACGAAAGUGGACGUAUACGGUGUGACGCCUGCCCGGUGCCGGAAGGUUAAUUGAUGGGGUUAUCGCAAGAGAAGCUCCUGAUCGAAGCCCCGGUAAACGGCGGCCGUAACUAUAACGGUCCUAAGGUAGCGAAAUUCCUUGUCGGGUAAGUUCCGACCUGCACGAAUGGCGUAAUGAUGGCCAGGCUGUCUCCACCCGAGACUCAGUGAAAUUGAACUCGCUGUGAAGAUGCAGUGUACCCGCGGCAAGACGGAAAGACCCCGUGAACCUUUACUACAGCUUGACACUGAACAUUGAGCCUUGAUGUGUAGGAUAGGUGGGAGGCUUUGAAGCGUGGACGCCAGUCUGCGUGGAGCCAACCUUGAAAUACCACCCUUUAAUGUUUGAUGUUCUAACCUGGCGCCAUAAUCUGGCGUGGGGACAGUGUCUGGUGGGUAGUUUGACUGGGGCGGUCUCCUCCCAAAGUGUAACGGAGGAGCACGAAGGUCAGCUAAUCCUGGUCGGACAUCAGGAGGUUAGUGCAAUGGCAUAAGCUGGCUUGACUGCGAGAGUGACGGCUCGAGCAGGUGCGAAAGCAGGUCAUAGUGAUCCGGUGGUUCUGUAUGGAAGGGCCAUCGCUCAACGGAUAAAAGGUACUCCGGGGAUAACAGGCUGAUACCGCCCAAGAGUUCAUAUCGACGGCGGUGUUUGGCACCUCGAUGUCGGCUCAUCACAUCCUGGGGCUGAAGUAGGUCCCAAGGGUAUGGCUGUUCGCCAUUUAAAGUGGUACGCGAGCUGGGUUUAGAACGUCGUGAGACAGUUCGGUCCCUAUCUGCCGUGGGCGCUGGAGAAUUGAGGGGGGCUGCUCCCAGUACGAGAGGACCGGAGUGGACGCAUCACUGGUGUUCGGGUUGUCAUGCCAAUGGCACUGCCCGGUAGCUAAAUGCGGAAGAGAUAAGUGCUGAAAGCAUCUAAGCACGAAACUUGCCCCGAGAUGAGUUCUCCCUGAGACUAUAAGUCUCCUGAAGGAACGUUGAAGACGACGACGUUGAUAGGCCGGGUGUGUAAGCGCAGCGAUGCGUUGAGCUAACCGGUACUAAUGAACCGUGAGGCUUAACCUUACAACGCCAAAGAAGU
rnacentral:rRNA from 1 species